rnacentral:lncRNA from 1 species
CAGUUUCUGACUGCCUGCAGACCUGUGUGUCCACGAAGCAGCGUGGCUCCUGGUGCUGGUGUGAGACAAGAGUUCAUCUUACAGAUGGUGGCCCAAGAACACAGCUAUAUGGCUGGAGUGCAGAUAAAUGCUCUAUAUGUUGGAAGGUGGUCAAAUCAGUGAGAAACUGGAGAAGGCCUUAAUCUUGGGCAGACAGAGCCACAGCCGUGCCUGCUUCUUUUCAAAGGACAAAGUGGAUCUGUGAGUAUCUAGCUCGUAAAUCAGGAGGUGAGGAGACAGCCCGGCUCCUCACAUGGAGCUCAACAGACGGACAGAGUCACAUUUCCAAUGGCAAACAGAGCACACUUCAUGUCCCUAUCAGUAGUCGUGGCCGAGCACCGACACGAGACCCCUUGAGUAGGAUUCAUUUCACAUGUCUGGUCACCCUGGGCUGCUUUUAUAAUCAGUCGUUCCUUUGAGGAUGCCGUUCAUUCUGUUCAGGAGCAGAUAUCCCAUGGCAAUCAAAUGGAUCACCCUGCUGGCCACCCACCAGGCCAGGAACUCAGCCUCAUGGCGGACGUGGCUGGGAACAGCUCCAUCUCCCAGCACAUUUGUGUAGAACAGG